GUGCUCGCUUCGGCAGCACAUACACUAAAAUUGGAAUGAUACAGAGAAGAUUAGCAUGGUCCCUGUGCAAAGAUGACAUGCAGGGAAAAAAGAAAAAAAGCAUCCUC
ensembl:snRNA U6 U6 spliceosomal RNA